rnacentral:rRNA from 1 species
UACGUAGGGGGCAAGCGUUGUCCGGAAUUAUUGGGCGUAAAGCGCGCGCAGGCGGCUUUGUAAGUUUGGUGUUUAAUCUCAGAGCUCAACUCUGAUUCGCAUCGAAAACUGCAAGGCUUGAGUACAGAAGAGGAAAGUGGAAUUCCACGUGUAGCGGUGAAAUGCGUAGAGAUGUGGAGGAACACCAGUGGCGAAGGCGACUUUCUGGGCUGUAACUGACGCUGAGGCGCGAAAGCGUGGGGGAGUAAACAGG